rnacentral:rRNA from 1 species
UAAUACGAAGGGACCUAGCGUAGUUCGGAAUUACUGGGCUUAAAGAGCUCGUAGGUGGUUAGAAAAGUUGGUGGUGAAAUCCCAAGGCCUAACCUUGGAACUGCCAUCAAAACUUUUUGACUAGAGUAUGAUAGAGGAAAGUGGAAUUUCUAGUGUAGAGGUGAAAUUCGUAGAUAUUAGAAAGAAUACCAAUUGCGAAGGCAACUUUCUGGAUCAUUACUGACACUGAGGAGCGAAAGCAUGGGUAGCGAAGAGGAUUAGAUACCCUCGUAGUCCAUGCCGUAAACGAUGUGUGCUAGACGUUGGAAAUUUAGUUUUCAGUGUCGCAGCGAAAGCGUUAAGCACACCGCCUGGGGAGUACGACCGCAAGGUUA